AGCAGCUCAGUUUAAGCCUGCACUUGCAAAAAAAUGUACUUUCCCUCUUGGCUCAAAGAUGGGGUGACGGCAGCAUCGUCUUCACAGUGGGGCUCGAGUUCCACCUGAUUCACUCCAAGGUGUGUGUCUUCGCAGAGGAUGGCGGUGAGCCAUGCAGGUGGCCUGUCUGAGCUCGUCAACACAGCAAGCCUUAUUCCCUCAUCUGGUCUGGGCAGGCCAAAUGCCAUAACGAGAGGUGAAGACAGCCCUUAAGAAUUAAAAGAUUGUAUGGCUAGAGGGUUCACUAUUCUAUGAGUAUGAGGACACUGAAGCUGCUCAAGGAACUGAAUCCAGAAUCAUGUCCACAAUUUUCUAAGCAAUUCACAUAAUUGACUCUGAAAAAAUGGAUCCUGCACAAAUUAGAAAAUCAAAACAACUUAUAUCUAUUCCUAUCUGUGUACUAUAAGCACAUACAUCAUUUAAACUAUAUUCAUAUCCUUACAA